UUGAAACCCUCCGUCGCCAUCUCCAUCGCUAAUACCAUCAGCACCAACACCAGUGUUGUAACCCCCAUCACAUUCACCACCUCCGCCAUCACCAUCACCGACGGCGAGUAUAGUUUUAACGGGAAAAUCAAUAAUUUCUUUUUCAAUUUCAUAUCUGGAAAAUAUCUCUAAUUUUCUUUUCUCCUCAGCCAUCACCAUCACCACUACUGUCUCCACUCGUUUCAUUAUGAAAAUCGAUUUUAAAGAUCGAUAAGAACAAUCUACAUGAAGAUUAUAUCAAAAGUUAAACAAUCGAUUGUGUGUUUAAACUAGUUUACAUUUCUUAGGAUUUUGAUAUUGAUUCAAUCAAUCUCAAUCUAAUCUUCCAUAAUAUCUAUCUGAUUUUGUUUCAAAUCUUCACUGAUAUGAUUUUAGUUGGUUUCCUUUUAAUUUUUGUUUCAUUUGGUUUUGAUAAUAAUUUUGCUUAUUACUGAUUUUAUUAUAUUCUGAAAAUUCAUAAGUGGUGUCUUGAAUGACAUAAUAUCAAAAUCAUAAUACGACAUUUUUAGUGGGUUCUCGAAAGACAUACAUCACGCAUGUACUAGGAAUCCAUAAGUGGUGUCUUGAAUGACAUAUGGAAAAAAAAAAUUUAAGGUUUCUUCCAUGCCUGGUUAUUUAGGUGUCUUCAGAAAUCAUGCAUUUUGUUUCUCUUAUUAAUAGUUUGGUGUUUGUUCAAUGCCGGAUAUGGUGCCCAGGUGAAUCUGUAACUCAAACUACUAUUGGUGUACUAAGAUAAACGGUGGUUAUAUAUCUCAAUAUGAAUGAUACAUCAUGAGGUAAGGUCUAAGGAUAACUGUUCGAAGAAGUCUUAAGUGGGCGGCUUGUGGAGCUUUGGCGAUGAGCUUAGUCUCUUAAGUUACCAAUGUUUUUGAAAGGAUCAACUCCAGUUGUUGACACCACUGGCGGUGGUGGUGGGUGGCGGC